GAUUUAUUAACUAUAUUUUCACCUUAUCAGUUGAAGGCUCCCGAGGAUACUAGCGUUCCCUUCUCCACUUCGCAAAACUUGUUCAGUCGGUGUUCAUGAGUUUCCUAAUAUUUGGCUCAUCUCUUCGGUCUGGCGCUUGGAGAUAUUGGAUUUGGUUAGACGUUUAAGCCUCAUCGGUGUGGCUGUGCUUGGACGUUGCACAGAAGCAUCAGAUCUGCAGGCUUUACCUAAUGAUAUGUUGGAGUUUUUGGAUGCACCUAUUCCGUAUGUAAUGUUCCAGAAUUGUUCACAAAAAAUAUCCACAGUUGUUUCAGAAUUGCUUUACAAAAGGUCCAAAAGAUGUCCAGCUUGCAAAAUCAAUGUGCUGAAAAGGACAAAGAAUAUAUAAUUUAUUAGUGUCUAGUUUAAGAACAAAGGAUGUUCUCAAUGCUUGAAGUGCAACAUGCAGUUCGCAGAAUACUAAACAUGUUUGUGUCUAAAUUGAUGUACAUAGUAUGCUGAAAAGAAUAGAGAAUAUAGUUGUAAAAUUCAGUGAUUGCAUUAAAUGAUGUAAAAGUGUCAUUUUAGAUCUAAAUUUUCUUAGAUUGACCUAAAUGGUUCAGUCUUGAGUAUGUAAAUGCUAUAAAUUGUGUGCCUAAGAGGCUAUUGCUACAAAUUGUAUAUGACAUUAUUGAAAUGAAUAAAAUGUUAUUUUGAUAUAAA